UAAGCCAGUAUCUUUCAGUUAAUGAUUAGGUCUGAAAGUAAAAAAUUACCUUAUCUUGGAUUUCUCUCUUCUUUCUCUGUGAAAGAUAAGCUGCAGUAGGAGCUGGAUGCCCUGUUCUUCCAUGGUUCAACCACCCCCUGCCCUUAAACUGGUGCCGUCACCUCACCAGGGCCAUCAGCCACACUGACACCACUAUGAUGGAUAGCAAAAUGGCAUUUAUUGUGGUGCAGUUAGCACCUUAUAUACUUUAAUCACUUUGUCUAUGCCCCUUGAGAAGAUGUUUGAAAUACGCACCCGAUAUACAUCACAAGGUAGGGGAUGGAGCAGGGAGAGGGCACUGCCACGUCACAACCCGAAUCCUCACUAAUACCUACAACAGAUGUCAUAAUGGGCUCUGACUUGAUCCACCCAUACAAGGACCUGUAUAUAGCAAUAUCAUUCUCAGUACUGUCACAUAAGGCCAUACUACUAAGACGCAUCACCAAUUUUUGUUGCCCAGCGUUUCUAAAACAAAUUCCUCUCCUCCACUUCUUUUACUUUUUCUCAUCUGAGACCAACACAUGGAUCAUCCAACAAAACAUUCUUUUCUUUCCUUUUUCCUACCUCAACAUCAACAGGUCAUUAGUGGAUGGGACCUUGGCAACACUUUGUGCUGGUUCACAGUCGGGAUGUCUGCAGAGAGACCCUGAGAAGAUUCAUGCGGUGGCUUGCAGAGAAGUCUCUGCUGGAACAAGCAUGAACAGACUUAAGAAGGCAGAUGAUUUCUGCAUUUCCACACUGUGGAAAAGAAGCUCAGAACCAAAGGAGAACUAAGAGGAAUCUUUGUUUCCAACUCAGAGAACAACUCUGGUAUGUGAACAGACAGUAAAACCAGUCUGCACCAUCAAACACAAAGGAAGAAAAUGCUAUACUAUGGACAUUUACUGGAAAAUAAUCUUGCAUAUUUGUUUAGGACUGUGUGUUGAACAGCCUUAAAAUUACAAUGCAAGGCAAAAAGAGUCUUUUUCAGAUGCUUGCAUGACUCUAUGUCAAAAUUUUAAAUUCUGUUUGGGUUUCAUUUAUUCUGUUUGUGUUUUACAAAGAGGUAACAGGCAUAACUCUGCAUGGAGGUACCCUUGCAUUUCCACUCCACUGAAGCAUAUACAGAUACCAUCUAAAAAUGUAUAUUUCUUGGCUCUGAUAUUUUUUGCUCUCUCCUCACAGUAAUAAAAGAUAGAUUUUAUGUGCCA
rnacentral:lncRNA from 1 species